UACGUAGGAGACGAGCGUUGUCCGGAGUUACUGGGCGUAAAGGGUGCGCAGGCGGCCUCGCGCGUCGCGAGUGAAAUCUCCCGGCUUAACUGGGAGGGUGCAGCGGAAACUAGAAUGCUAGAGGGUGGGAGAGGUAAGCGGAAUUCCUGGUGUAGCGGUGAAAUGCGUAGAUAUCAGGAGGAACACCUGUGGUGUAGACAGCUUACUGGACCACUUCUGACGCUGAGACACGAAAGCGUGGGUAGCAAACAGG
rnacentral:rRNA from 1 species